AUACGUAGGGGGCGAGCGUUGUCCGGAAUGAUUGGGCGUAAAGGGCGCGUAGGCGGCCCGGUAAGUCCGAAGUGAAGGUCCUGUUUUUAAGAUGGGAAUUGCUUUGGAUACUGUCGGGCUUGAGUGCAGGAGAGGUACGUGGAAUUCCUAGUGUAGCGGUGAAAUGCGUAGAGAUUGGGAGGAACACCAGUGGCGAAGGCGACUUACUGAACUGUAACUGACGCUGAGGCGCGAAAGUGUGGGGAGCAAACAGGAUUAGAUACCCUGGUAGUCCACACUGUAAACGAUGAAUGCUAGGUGUAGGGGGUAUCGACCCCUUCUGUGCCGCAGGAAACACAAUAAGCAUUCCGCCUGGGGAGUACGGCCGCAAGGUUGAAACUCAAAGGAAUUGACGGGG
rnacentral:rRNA from 1 species